rnacentral:rRNA from 1 species
AUGGACUACUCCACCUCCCUCCUCCGCCUCACCUUCCUCGCCCUCGGCGCCGCCCUGGUCCUCAUCGUCGCCCGCUCCGCCUUCCGCCUGCCGCUCGCCAUCGACGCCCCGGCCGCCUCCUUCUUGCACGGCGCCGGCGGCUGCACCCGAUUCUCGCCGUGGGCCUGCCGCUCGCCACGAACCGGCAAGGCCCCGCCACGCCGCCCAUCGCACGAGUCCGACGUGCCGCGCCACCCGCUCGACCCGCUCACGGUGACGGAGGUCAACCGCGCGCGCGAGCUCCUCCGAGCGCACCCGCCGUUCGCGUCGGCUCCGUCGGCCCUGGCCGUGCACGCGCUCGCGCUCGACGAGCCGGACAAGCCCGCCGUCCGGCGCUGGCGGAAGGGCGCCCACGCGCUCCCGCCGCGCCGCGCCGUCGCGGUCGUCCGCUUCCAGGGGGAGUCCCACGUGCUCGCCGUCGACCUCGCGGCCGGCAAGGUCGCCCCUCUGCCCGUGCCGGCCUCCGGCUACCCGACGAUGACCAUGGACGAGCAGACCGCCCUCUGCGCGGCGCCGUUCAGAGACCCGGCGUUCAACGCCACCAUCCGGCGCCGCGGCGUGCGCCUGGCCGACGUCGCGUGCCUGCCCAUCUCCCCCGGGUGGUACGGCCCCGCCGAGGACGGCGGCCGCCGGCUCAUCAAAAGCCAGUGCUACUCCACCGAGGGCACCGCCAACUUCUACAUGCGCCCCAUCGAGGGCCUCACCGUGCUCAUCGACAUGGACACCGGGAAGGUCGUCCACAUCUCCGACCGCGGCGCCGGCAUCCCCAUCCCGGCCGCCAAGAACACCGACUACCGCCUUGCCGCCAACGACGACGCCGAUAGAUUCGGGUACCAGACGGUGCGGGCGCCGUCGAUGGAGCCGGCGCCGGAGGGCCCAGGAAUCCAGAUUGAGGACGGGCACACGGUGCGGUGGGCCGGGUGGGAGUUCCACCUCAAGGCGGACGCGCGCGCGGGACUGGUCGUGUCCCGCGCGACGGUGCAGGACCCGGCCACCGGGGCGCGGAGGGAGGUGAUGUACAAGGGCAUGGCGUCGGAGCUGUUCGUGCCGUACAUGGACCCGACGGAGGCGUGGUACUUCAAGACCUACAUGGACGCCGGCGAGUACGGCUUCGGCCUGCAGGCCAUGCCGCUGGUGCCGCUCAACGACUGCCCGCGCCACGCGCGGUACAUGGACGGUGUCUUCGUCGCCGCCGACGGCCGGCCGUACGUCCGGGACAACAUGAUCUGCGUCUUCGAGCGCUACGCCGGCGACAUCGCGUGGCGACACUCGGAGAGCCCCAUCACCGGCAUGGACAUAAGGGAGUCCCGGCCGAAGGUGACGCUGGUGGCGCGCAUGGCGGCGUCGGUGGCCAACUACGACUACAUCGUCGACUGGGAGUUCCAGACCGACGGCCUCAUCCGCAUCAAGGUCGGGCUCAGUGGGAUCCUGAUGGUGAAGGGCACGCCCUACUCCCACAUGAACCAGGUCCAGCAAAACGAGGAGAUGCAUGGCACCCUCCUCUCCGAGAACGUCAUUGGUGUCAUCCAUGACCACUACGUCACCUUCCGCCUCGACAUGGAUGUCGAUGGCGCCGACAACUCCUUCGUCCGCGUGGACAUGGCCCGCCAAGACACCGCGCCUGGCGAGUCCCCACGGAGGAGCUACCUCAAGGCCACACGUCAUGUCGCGAGCACGGAGAAGGACGCCCGGGUCCGGCUGAAGCUCUAUGAGCCGGCCGAGUUCCACAUCAUCAACCCGACGAAGAAGACACGUGUCGGCAACCCCGUGGGCUACAAAGUCGUCCCGGCCGGCACUGCCGGUAGCUUGCUGGACCCCGAGGACCCUCCGCAGAAGAGGGGCGCAUUCACAAACAAUCAGAUUUGGGUCACGCCCUACAACAAGAACGAAGAAUGGGCCGGUGGGCUGUUCGUGUACCAGAGCAAAGGGGAGGACACGCUGGCUACUUGGUCGGAGAGGGACCGUCCGAUCGAGAACAAGGACCUGGUGCUGUGGUACACGUUGGGGUUCCACCACAUCCCUUGUCAGGAGGACUUCCCCAUCAUGCCCACUGUGUCGUCCAGCUUCGACCUCAAGCCAGUCAACUUCUUCGAGAGCAACCCCAUCCUCAAGCAGCGGCCCACCAUGGAAAAGGACCUCCCCGUCUGUGCCGCUACCGCCUAA